rnacentral:rRNA from 1 species
UACGUAGGGGGCAAGCGUUGUCCGGAUUUAUUGGGCGUAAAGAGCGUGUAGGCGGCCAGGUAGGUCUGCUGUGAAAACUCGAGGCUUAACCUCGAGACGCCGGUGGAAACUGCAAAGCUAGAGUCCGGAAGAGGAGAGUGGAAUUCCUGGUGUAGCGGUGAAAUGCGCAGAUAUCAGGAAGAACACCCGUGGCGAAGGCGGCUCUCUGGGACGGUACUGACGCUGAGACGCGAAAGCGUGGGGAGCGAACAGG